rnacentral:lncRNA from 1 species
GGAGAUAUAAUCUAAUAGAUUUACUCAAAAAGUAUGCACCAUGCAGCUAAUUUAUCUUUUCUCUCCUUCUAGAAAUUCUGAUUUUCAUGACUUUCACUUUCAUCAACAAGCUAAAAGAAAGAAAAUCUUCUGAGACAGAAAUUACUUGGAUUGCAGCUUUGCCUUCUACAAGUAUUGAGGUUUGAUCUGAACCUGAAGCCCUAACCCUGGACUGGCUGAGAAGAUGCUGGGAUAACAAUCCUUCUAUUAAUUUUAGUCAUUUUAAUAAUCAUGGGUAUAAUUAUUUUAUA